GGAAGGGAAGGGAAAGGAAAGGAAAGGAAAGGAAAGGAAAGGAAAGGAAAGGAAAGGAAAGGAAAAGAAAAGAAAAGAAAAGAAAAGAAAAGAAAAGAAAAGAAAAGAAAAGAAAAGAAAAGAAAAGAAGACAAGCUGAGUUGGCAGUGAUGGGCAAAGGUAUCACCUUCUCCCCCGCUUUCUCUGCUUUACCAGUGCUUGGUUGGGAAAGACCUGGAGCUGCAUUUGGGUUCAUGCAUCUCACUCUCCAGGACAGGGGAGGCUGUGGGAGCUCCCUGGGGAUGGUAACUGCUGGUUUUAUAUUUUAAAAUAGCUUUAUUAUGGUUUAAUUCACAUGCUAUACAAUUCACACAUUUAAAAUAUACAUUCAAUGGUUUUUACUAUAUUCACAGAGAGGCUGACUCAGAGAGGAUCUAUAAAGACAGUGGUGAUCAGUGGCUCCCAGGCCACUGGGUUCUAAGCACUAUUGGCAGGUAGGAACAUAUUUUCUUGAUUCUCGUUUCAUAGCUGUAUGCACCCUUUGCCUACCUCCUCCUUUCAGAGCCCUAGAAAUUGGAAUCUGAUAUCUUUUAAGGACUGCUCCUUAGAUUGCCAAAAUUUCAAGCCUAUUCUAAUCCAAGCUGCCGUUCUUUAAGUAUGACAAAAUAGCUGCUAAAUUCACAUGAAAGUAUGAAUGAGGCCUUGAACACAGAGAUUCCUUUAUGCCUUUUCAAAGACAGCGUUGGCCCAAAUCAAUCUUACUGUAAGAAGGGAGGUUGCUUUAAAAUUUGAGUUUGGAAAGAUUCUAAGGUCUCUAGAUGUCUUCCAGGGCACAUUUUUGUAACUUUCUGCUCCUCAGAUUCCUCAGGCUUAAGACAGAGAAUUGGGUCAGAAGAUGAUAUGUCAAAAUCCAGGUACCAUUUAUUGAAUGGCCACAAUGUGCAAAGAAUCCCUAUGCUGGACUAAGAAUCUGGCUUAUAUUCUGUCGUGUCCUUCUCACAAACAGGGUGAUCAGUGGGGUGUGAUCAGGCUUAGGGAGAUUGAGCUCUUUAAGCAAAGCCACACUGUAAGCAAAUGGUGGCCCCAAAUGUUAUGCAUCUAUUUGGCUCUAAAGUCCUUCUGCCCCCUUGAUUCCCACCAUAUUACCCUUCAUAUCACUGUUGAUACCACGAUGCUGGCAAGGCACAGGGGUCUGGCCAUAUCAUGGCCACAUGCUACCAUGCCAAAUUUCACAUGACAUGACUCACUUGUCUCUGCUGUUUUCUAAGGAGCUAGCUGCUGGCUGGCAGCCAAAUGCAGGAUCGUCCUUUAUUCAGGAUAUUGUUUUGAGAGAGAUGUGGUCCUGAGCAAAGCCAGGAAUUCCCAAGGACAAUCGUCCCAUGGGAAUGUCACAGGAAGCAGGACUGUGAGGAACACAGGCAAACCGUGGUCUGCUUUUAUCAGUUAAACAACUCAAUAAGCAUGUGUAUCUGUUUUGGUCUAUAAAUCCUAGGUUCUUUUGUCUCCCUAACUUUUGAGGCAGCUUGAGAGAAUCAUUGCAUAUCAAGGCUGGGAGUAGGCCUGGAGAUAGGAUAAUCUCACAUCUACCCUUUACUUUGGAAGAAAUAGAGAUAUGAUUAAGUGAAAUUCAUUUAUUCAGCAAACAUUUAGUGAGAACUCAUGCUUCAAAUAUAGCACUAAGUGCCAGGAUGCAGAAAUGAAACAAUGCAAAUCACUGUUCCAGGAUCUUCAUGCCUAGUGGGCGAGGCAAGCUCAUACACAUACAAUUUCAAUAAAUAUGGUAAAUGUUGCAAUUGUGCUGAGAAUUUAUGGGAACCUGAGGGAGUUAGCAGAGACUGACUGAUAUUUGAGCUGGAAGAAGAAAGAAGGAAAAGGUAAACCAGGCAAGGGAAGCAGGAUCUAGGACGAGUCAAAUGUAUUCAGAAAAGAAUGAUGUGAAUUUCCUGGUGGCUAAACCCAGGGUAGGGUAAGAACAGGUCACUAGGCUGGCAAUGAGAUUUGCCUCAAGUCAAAUAAUUUCUGGCCUGUUUGACAUUCAAACGUUUCAGUCUACAUCCUCAAGAAGGUUUUAAUGUCACUUUCCUUUUACUGGGUCUAUUUUGCACACCUUGGCUUUACUGGUCUAGCCUUGGCAUCCUUUAUCCAGGAUGGGGAUCUCUUUCACAUGCUGCAGAACUUCUCAGAGAUGCCCACAGGUGUGCCAACCACAUGGAAGAGUUUUGCGAUAUAUGUGAAUUGCUCAGGGGGUUUCAGAUUCUUGCCUGCAGCAAAGUCCUAGUCCUGCCUGGCAUGGGAGCCUCGAGUUUCACCCAGGAUUCUGAGAGAACCUGGAACAUCUAUACAUGCACAUAUCUGAAAAUACCUUCUGAACAAAGUCCUUGUCCCUUCCCCAACCCACAGCCUCCAGCCCCCUCCUCCAAAUGCAUCCCACCUGCCCGAAAUCUCGCAAGAACUCCAAGUCUGGUUUUUUAAUCACCAAGGAAGAACAACUGAAAAUUCAGACAUUUGAGACUGUAUCCAGAAUAAUUUCUACAGAAAAGAGGCGAAGAAAGAUCUGCUGCUUGCUCUCUCGAUUUCAAGGUUAAUCCAUUGCCCUCGCAAUCCAGCUUCCAGGUUUUUCUGCAGAAUUCAUUAACCACAACUUGAUUUCCCCACCUGCAUCGUGCUGUGUAUGUAUAUUUGAUGUACUCUUGCUGGCUGGCUGAACAGUAUGAUGAAAACGGUGGUGAAGAUCCGCUGCUACCUGAGGUCCCAUGACAUUCCCUUGUCCCCUAAAAUUGGUGGAUCUUGCCAAAUUCCUUUCCAUUAAUUAUAAUAACAAUAAUAGCAAAAGCGUCUUUGGAGGACUCCUUCCUGCCUUCACAAUGCAAUUCUUUCCCUCCGCUAUUGUCCUUAGGAUAUUUUCUGCUUAAUGAGAUAAGGUUGUACAUAUUCUUCCUCACUGUUUCUCUUCUGGCUGAAUGUGUUUUUUUUUUUUUUUUUUACCUACUUAGGCCCUACAGUUUGGGUCCUGAGUGCAAAACAAUAAUAAUACAAGUAAUAAAAAAGAAGAAAAGAAAAUACUGAAGCUGAAAUUGUGCACGCUGGAGAAAUAUUAUUUUCUCUCUUUAGCAUUUAUUAUGGUCUGCUACAUGCUAUGCUAGAUUUUAAGGGUUUAAAUUGGUCUAUGUCCACCAGGAAGUGAGUUGAGUUAAAGAGACUAAUGAGUAAAGCAACAGACACACAGAUAGAAAGGAUGGGUGUCCCUAAACGGCCGUGGGCAUAUGAGACGAGGAUCACUUAGCCUGGUUGAAGGGUGGGAGAACAAGGGGGAUACAUUUCCAGGGCUACAUUGACUCUUAAGGAAGAGAACUGAAUAAGUAUUGGGUGGAAAAUUAUGGAAGAAGGGGAGGAGGAAGGGAUGACAAAAAGGAGGGUGGUAUAGACGGCAGCAUCAUUACAAAGAGCUAAUGUAUUAAGGAGGGAAUAAAGGUUUUAAUGAAUACCCUUUCCAAUACCAUUAUUCCAUGAAUGGUUGAAUAGAUGACUAUGGUGUGUGUGUGUGUGUAUUAUCUAGGCUGAAGAUAUUGUCAUUUUUCUAAGUCCUUUCAGCCAUCUAAUAAGUGAAGAAGCUGAGAUUUGAUUUCAUUCCUCUCACUUUUGGUUCAGGUGCUUUGCACCAGCCUUACAUGCCUUGACAGAAGCCCUUGUUAGGCAGUCUUUCUCAAGAGGAGGUCUCCAUGAAUUAACAACCUCUAUAAUGAGUGUGGGUGCACCUAUAGAAUAAAGAAAGAGAGUUGUUCUAUAAUGGAGAACAUUGGAUGAGUUAAAAAGGGAAACCAGGGUAAAGGAGGCUAAGCAAUGAUGGAGAAAAGGAGGAAAGUAAUUAGAUUUCAGUGAGCUAAAGACACAAUGUAAAGACUUCAGGAAGGAGCCAAGGUGAGAAUAGGAGAUUACACUGCAAGGUUUCUAAGGGCUGGCAAAAGCUUUAGGGUAAAUCAAAAGACUGUUACAAAUUCAAUAGAAUUUUAUAUUAUUUUAGGAAAUUGAGUAACAGUCCAUUAGCUGCAAAGCCCAGGAUCAAGAAGAGAGCUAAAAGACAUAGCAAGUUCUGGAAGUCUGGUUUUGGCUUAGUAGCAUAUUGUUGUUGGAAGCAUCCAAGAGAUUAUCUGUGACUCCCUCACUUUACAGCUGAGGAGACUGAGGCCAGAGAACCGGUAUUAAUUCUACAUGUUAUUGAGCCUACUGCUCCGCAGGGACUUGCAUAUAAGCUUCCAAUACGCAAUUCAGUGCUCUUUGUAAGAAUGUGAAUUUCAGAUCAGGGCAUAGGUUUCCAACAGUGGUUUGAAGACCAACCUUCUCUAUCCUCAGGCCAGUCAUAAAACACAAGGCAUAAAGUCAGAGUCCUGAACUACAAAGAACAAUGGGAUGAGAAAGAGAAGUGUGACCUGGGAAAGCAAGCACUAGAAGGAGGUGACAUUAUAAAAGACGAUAGGACAGCAGGAAUGAUGGAGCAUUGUACUGACGAGGCUGGAGAAUCACAGAGGCAAGAAAAGGGACUAGAAUCUUGUUAGUAGAUCUGGCAUAAAGGCUUUUGAGUUAAAAAAAAAAAAAAAGUAAGCUUUUUGUUAAAACAUUUCUUAAAAGAUUAAAAUGUGGACAUUUCUCCAGGAAAAUCAGCAUAGUAUACCAAUGAGUGUGUGACUUUGACCUCUGUCAAUCUUGACUCAAAAUUCUCCUUCAGAUUCCAUGUCAGUGUUCAGUCAAGAAAGUGUGAACCACAAAGUUACUUUGACAGAGAUAAUUUACUUUAGGAAAGGGGUUAAAAAUUAUGGAAAGAUGGAAAAGAGUAAAAGGAACAGUGAGGAAACACAAAGCUGUAGGAAGCAGCCACAGGCCCAGGGAACAAAGGGAAGAGGCUGGGGUUUUAGAGCUUAUGGCUUGAAGGAAAUACACACCCCUGCCCCACGUCCCAACUUCUGAGGAGGGAACCAACAGCUGGUGCCUUAAAAGGCCAGACUCACACUGCAGAGGAGGGAGGGCCACCUGCAGGGUUUUGAUAUUGGUAAGUGGGUGGUUUUAAGUAUGGAGGAAAAUACAGAAAAUAGAACCAGUUGCUGCUACUGGGAGCUUUCAGGGUGAGGAAGAAUUGCUGGGCUGGGGCUGAUGGAAACAGCAAAAAAAGGAAGGUUUCUGGGAGUUUCCCCAUCCUUCCAAUCUUCCAGCCUCCAUCUGGAGUCUUCUAAUGGCAGAACAUAAUGAAGAGCUAUCAGAAAUAGAAAGAUAUGGCUUUCAGAGUCUUAGUCUCUAAAUCGAAAAAAGCAAAGUAUAGAAAGCUAGGUUUGGGACUGAAAUGCCAUAGCUUAAAGCCCAAACAGCCUCUCCCUAGCUCUGUAAUCUCCACCUGCAUCGAUCUCUGAUCCUAGAAACUAAUCAGCCCUCCCGUGACACUAUAACCCCCUCUUAGUUCUUACUCCCUAGUCCUGUUCCCUUUUAAUGGGAAAACUCCUCAAAAUGGCUUCAAUGUGUCUGUUUCCUGACUUCCUGGUUUCUCCUAAACUUUUUCCAAUCAGACUCUCAUUCCUAAACCUCCAUGGAAACCAAGCUAUCUUGCUUUCCAGAAAAUUAUUCUUCCUCUGGUUGUAGUUUUACAUUUUUACCUGUACGGUGAAUUUGGAGUUAGAGGGUUAGAGGGACAUUCUUCUAAAAACUCAUUGCUCACUAAAAAUAAAUAAAUUGUAGAAGCCAGAAGUUACAAUCUGACCAGAAAAUCUCAUGGAGGCAAAAAGAAAGGUAUACCCACCUAUUCUCAUUCCAAAACCAAGUUUUUGGAUAGGCAGAAUGUGAAUACAUUGCAUAGG
rnacentral:lncRNA from 1 species